UUCGGAGCUUGUGAGUGGACGGUGCUGCCAGCCAGAAUUUCCGAGCUCGCCUUGGGCCCUUAAAGUCUGUCUCCCGCCGUCUGAGAGCAUCAGGGACGCGCCGGGCCUGCUCCUCCCGGGCCUUUGCUUAACUCGGGGCUGCACGAUGGCUCAGUGCCGGGACCUGGAGAAUCACCACCACGAGAAGCUCCUGGAGAUCUCUAUCAGCACCCUGGAGAAGAUUGUCGAGGGCGACCUGGACGAGGACCUGCCUAACGACCUGCGCGCGGGUCGUUUCCAAAAGUUCAAUUAUGUGGAGGCUUCUGGCACUUUCUAAGAGAAGCAGUUACAGGUAGAGGUUGAAGUCUGAGAUUUCCCCUGGAGGUCUUCUUAACCUUAGAGUCUGUAUAAUGAGUACUGUGGGGGUGUUGGAACCACCAUUUCUGAUCCUGCACAAUGCCAUCCGGUUUGCACCAGCACAUCCACUGAUGAAUGGUCACAAAAUCAGCAGGGUCGGCCUGAGGAACCUGGCUCCAUCCCUGGGGUCUGCACGCUAAGAAGGCUCUCCCGGAUGUCUGCGCUGGGUCCCGCGGCAGCAUGUCUAUGUCUCUGGAAGGAGUGUGGGCAUCAAGGGCCCAGACAGAGAUACUAUGUUGUCAGGGCCCAGACAGAGAUACUAUGUUGUCAGGGCCUGCUUUAGUGCAUGCAUCAUUCACUCCACUGCCAGUUUCUCAGCUUCUCUCUGUCGCGACAUCACCACCAAGGCAAGCCACCAUCGUCCUUGGCCUGGACUGCUUGCCUCUUUACUGUCCUCUUACAGUCCGUC
rnacentral:lncRNA from 1 species